AGACGCCCAGAGAACCCUAAACC
rnacentral:piRNA from 1 species